rnacentral:rRNA from 1 species
GACGAACGCUGGCGGCGUGCUUAACACAUGCAAGUCGAACGGAAAGGCCCUGCUUUUGUUGGGUUCUCGAUUGGCGAACGGGUGAGUAACACGUGAGUAACCUGCCCUUGACUUUGGGAUAACUUCAGGAAACUGGGGCUCAUACCGGGUAUGAGCUCCUGCUGCAUGGUGGUGGUUGGAGAGUUUCGGCCGUAGGGGAUGGACUCGCGGCUUAUCAGCUUGUUAGUGGGGUAGUGGCUUACCAAGGGUUUGACGGGUAGCCGGCCUGAGAGGGGGACCGGCCACAUUGGGCCUGAGAUACGGACCAGACUCCUACGGGCGGCAGCAGUGGGGAACAUUGCACAACGGGCGGAAGCCUGAUGCAGCAACGCCGCGUGCGGGAUGACGGCCUUCGGGUUGUAAACCGCUUUCGAAUGUGACGAAGCGUGAGUGACGGUAAUGGGUAAAGAAGCCACGGCUAACUACGUG